rnacentral:rRNA from 1 species
UACAGGGGGUGCAAACGUUGCUCGGAAUCAUUGGGCGUAAAGCGCACGUAGGCGGUCUGUUAUGUCGGAUGUGAAAGCCCUUGGCUCAACUGAAGAAGUGCAUCCGAAACUGGCAAGCUAGAGUACUAAAGAGGAUCGCGGAAUUCCCGGUGUAGAGGUGAAAUUCGUAGAUAUCGGGAGGAACACCGGUGGCGAAGGCGGCGAUCUGGGUAGAUACUGACGCUGAGGUGCGAAAGCGUGGGGAGCAAACAGG